GCAAGUCGAGGGGCAGCGGGAUUGAAGCUUGCUUCAAUUGCCGGCGACCGGCGCACGGGUGAGUAACGCGUAUCCAACCUUCCGUACACUCAGGGAUAGCCUUUCGAAAGAAAGAUUAAUACCUGAUGGUAUGAUGAGAUUGCAUGAUAGCAUCAUUAAAGAUUCAUCGGUGUACGAUGGGGAUGCGUUCCAUUAGGUAGUAGGCGGGGUAACGGCCCACCUAGCCUACGAUGGAUAGGGGUUCUGAGAGGAAGGUCCCCCACAUUGGAACUGAGACACGGUCCAAACUCCUACGGGAGGCAGCAGUGAGGAAUAUUGGUCAAUGGACGAGAGUCUGAACCAGCCAAGUAGCGUGAAGGAUGAAGGUCCUACGGAUUGUAAACUUCUUUUAUAAGGGAAUAAAACCUCCCACGUGUGGGAGCUUGUAUGUACCUUAUGAAUAAGCAUCGGCUAACUCCGUGCCAGCAGCCGCGGUAAUACGGAGGAUGCGAGCGUUAUCCGGAUUUAUUGGGUUUAAAGGGAGCGUA
rnacentral:rRNA from 1 species